CCUACGGGGGGCUGCAGUCGAGGAUCUUCGUCAAUGGGGGCAACCCUGAACGAGCGAUGCCGCGUGCGCGAUGAAGGCCUUCGGGUUGUAAAGCGCGAAAGUGGGGAGAAAAGCCGAAAGGUGUGAUCUAUCCACAGUAAGCUCGGGCUAAGUUCGUGCCAGCAGCCGCGGUAAGACGAACCGAGCGAACGUUGUUCGGAAUAACUGGGCUUAAAGGGCGCGUAGGCGGGCUGUCAAGUCUGGGGUGAAAUCCCACGGCUCAACCGUGGAACUGCCUCAGAUACUGACGGCCUCGAGGAAGGUAGGGGCGAGCGGAACGAAUGGUGGAGCGGUGAAAUGCGUUGAUAUCAUUCGGAACUCCGGUGGCGAAGGCGGCUCGCUGGACCUUUUCUGACGCUGAGGCGCGAAAGCUAGGGGAGCAAACGGGAUUAGAUACCCCAGUAGUC
rnacentral:rRNA from 1 species